AAGCGACGGUGGCAGGCAGCACGGAGGUGAAGAGCCCCCGGGACCGACCGGCCAGGUUGACCAGCGGUCGACGAAACCGGCAGGAAAGAUCGCGAGCUGGAGGCGCCGAACGCCCCGAAUCCAAUCAAGCAGAGGCCAGGUUGUCCUGAGCCCCCGCCCCGCAAGAACACAAGACCCGGCGGAGCCUCCGGUCGCGGAUGGCGCAAAUCGGCACCGAAUCGGCGCAAGAUUACCUCCGGGAUGGUAAGGAGAAGUGGAUGCGCCGUUGACUUGGCCGGUUUGGCCGGGAGCGGCGGUGCAAUUGGCGCUCGGGGCGGGGUGGGGGCGGUUCCGGUGUUGACGAAGCGUAGGCGCGUAGCGAGAGCCGGUUGGGCAAGAUGUUUAUUGCUAGGGCCACUACCCACCACCGGCAGGAGCUGCGCCCGCUUCGCCUAGGCCUGUCCGGUCGCCUUGGCGCCUUGCCGUCUUGGCGGCUCCUUUGUUCUACGCCGCGUCUCUUGCGGCCGCAAAGGAUAUGCUGCUUCCCCACGGUCCAAGCUGGACUGCAGACGAGAGAUUUUUUCUUUCGCAUACGGCAUGCGCUCGAGAUUAUUGCCAGUCAUGCCCAAGAUGAUUGCCAGUCAUCUUCAUACAUGUGGGUCCUCGAUUUUCAUCUGUCAAAAAGGACCGCAGGUGCACUCGCAUUUCUUAUCCUCGCAUCGCAGGAACGAAAGCACCAGCCAUGGAACCAACCAUAAAGCAGGCACACGUACGUCUGGUGUUGCGUACGUCAGGACACGCAGCCCAGCCCUAGACCAUGCAUGUGUGUGACAGGGACCGAGCUUUUGCUCCCACUACCGGAUCAUGUGGCGGUGCCGCCUUAAAGCCAAGAUCAUCCGAUCCAGCACCGAAAAAAAAAGAUCCCGAAUGGCCGGCGAUGGAGGAUGCAUGGCUCUCUGCUAGACAAGACGACGGUGCGCAAUGGCGUACGUUCAGAGAUUCAGAAAGCUAACUAGAGCUUGCGGCUGAAGCAACUCUUGUGCUACAGAGUGGUUCCGUUCGUUAGUUGGUAGAGGCCCCGGGUAGAGCACGCAGCAACCAUGGUCGUCAUGGUGGGUGGCGGCCGGCCGGCGCCUGGCGGCCUCUCCUUUUCGCCGGCCGGCCGAUUCGGAGCCCACCUCACAUCAGAUUCAGACAGCCGCCUACAUGACUAGCAUAUUAUUACCAAGUGCAGUGUAGUGCCUAGUGGGGGAUGAGCGUGAGAUAAGGAGUCGUUGAUCGUGGGCCCGAUUCCUAAUUCUUCGCAGCGAAUUGCUCUGUUAGCCGAUGAAGAAGUUUCUUCCCCUAUAAAAAUGUAAACAGAAAAUUUUCUUCUUUUGACGGAUAAACAGGGACGGAGAUAGGAAACAUUCUCCAUCCCCGUUCCUCGUAAGGUCCCGUUAAAUUUGUACGUGACGAU